rnacentral:lncRNA from 1 species
CAGACUCUACACAAAUGAUAUGCAUGGAGGACCCACAUAGGAUCAUUUCUCAGCUGAAAAGAACCAAGGAUUUCAAGGGAACCCCACAACCUCUGCAGGGACGCUCUUGCAUCUAUCUCUUGGGGCCCAAAGGUCACAUAAGAGAAUGGAUUCCAAGCAAAGCUCUUUGGAACGGCCCUUAAAAGCACAAGUGCGCAAGCAAGGCAUGUUUCCAGCUUGCGCACGGAAUAAUGAUAAGGGUGGGAGACCAAACCCCCCAAUGAUAGUGGUGGCAGGGAAGUUGCCUCGCAGCUAGCUUUUAAGCAAGGUGAAGGAGUUGCUUUGGGCUUUGUGUGUUGGGAACCUGAUCUCCACCUUUCCUAUCCUUUUGGUCAGAAUAUGGUACACACCCUUUGCUUUGAACAUAUGAUAUCUUCCUUGGCCACAGUGAAGAGCAACAACAUAUAGAAAAAAAGGAACCAGAAUAAGAAAACAAGGGGGGGAGAAAGCAAGAAGAGAAGGGGGCUCUGUGAGAUUCUCCAAAAAUAUGGAGUGGAACAAAGAAAAAAGAAUGGAGGGAAGAGUGCAGGGGACAUGUGUAGAGAAUUCAGCUUUAAGUUGGAUAGGGA